UACGUAGGUGGCAAGCGUUGUCCGGAUUUAUUGGGCGUAAAGCGAGCGCAGGCGGUCAAUUAAGUCUGAUGUGAAAGCCCCCGGCUCAACCGGGGAGGGUCAUUGGAAACUGGUUGACUUGAGUGCAGAAGAGGAGAGUGGAAUUCCAUGUGUAGCGGUGAAAUGCGUAGAUAUAUGGAGGAACACCAGUGGCGAAGGCGACUCUCUGGUCUGUAACUGACGCUGAGGCUCGAAAGCGUGGGUAGCAAACAGGAUUAGAUACCCCGGUAGUCC
rnacentral:rRNA from 1 species